GGCUUUAUAGUGUAGUGGUUAUCACCCGAGAUUCUGAUUAGUCAGCGUUCUCGUGACCCAGGUUCGAGCCCUGGUAAGGCCU